rnacentral:rRNA from 1 species
UGGACCUGAUAUCAAGCCAGAUUCAGGAAG